AUCCAGCUGACGAGUUCCAAGUAGGAAGAAACGCGCGUCAAACUGGAU
rnacentral:hammerhead_ribozyme from 1 species